CUCCUUCAGCUCUCCUGGGCUAUUCGGAAACAUUUGGAGCAUGGAAGGAAAUGGACUGUCCAACCGCACAAACAUCAACGGGUCGUCGCACUGCGAUCAGGUCAAACCUUCAGCCGACCUUUUCUUCACUGUGGUCUACAGUCUGGUGUUUCUGGUGGGUUUAGUCCUCAACGGAUUCACCCUGAAGGUUUACUUCUUCAGCGCUCACCAGCAGGUGUCCAGCAGCGUGACCAUCUACCUGAAGAACCUGGUAGCUGCAGACUUCCUGCUCACCCUCAGCCUCCCCUUAAGAAUCGGCCACUUCGCCAGCCGCUCUGUCACCAUGUUCAGGGUCUACUGCAACUUUGGCGCCUCUGCGUUUUACCUGAACAUGUACGCCAGCAUCCUGUUCAUGGGUUACAUCGCAGCAAACAGGUAUCUAAAGAUCGUCCAUCCUUUAGGGACACACAUCUUUCAGACAGUGCGAGCCGCCCACAUCAUCUCUGCGGUAACCUGGGUUGUCCUCUUGGCCAUAAUGACCACCUACGUCACCCAGUCGUUCCUCACCGAGGAACAAUUGCUGUCCGUCCCAAAUACCCUGAGCUGUGACGCUCUGCACAGUGAACAACUCAGCCUCUUCUACAAAGUCAUCCACACCUUGUCUGCGGCCAUCUUCAUCAUCGUCCUCGUCUCCCUCAUCUUCUUCUACCACGGCACCUCCCGCAGGCUGUCAGCAGCACAGCAGAGACAGCAAGCGUCCUCCGGAUCCAAGAAGCUCGCCAAGUCCCGCAGGAACAUGUUGGUGCUGGUCAGCGUCUUCUGCGUCUGCUUCGUCCCGUACCACCUGGUCCGCCUGCCGUACGCUUUCCUGAGGGGGUGGUGCUCAUGGAGGCAGGCCUUCUUCUACCUGAAGGAGCUGACCGUCAUGGUGUCCGUUCUCAACGUCUGCCUGGACCCGCUCAUCUAUUUCAUCUUCUGUAAAGCCUUCAGGGCCCAGCUGAGGUUGAGGAGGGUGUUCAGCGCCAGAGAGGAUCCGACGCACAGGGCGAGCGCAGAGAGGAGGAGCAGCAACUUGCGGAUGAGCACCAUCAUGUUCAACAAGAAGUCAUCACUCACAGCCACUUAGCCCAUCAGCGUGCUUUAGGGCACCUGGAUUGCUGGGAGUGUUUACCCCCUUGGUUUGGACACACUCUGAUGAGGAACAAGAGAAGUUCAAUAUCAGAGUCAUUGGUCAUCCCCCUUUUUUGCACAAUUGAUUUUGUUGGUAGGUUAACUCAGAGCCAGCCCUAACCAAUUUGGCGCCCUAGGCAAGAUUUCAGCAGUUGCCCCUUAUAUUGCAUCCAGUUUGACCACUAAUCACAAUAUUCAUAGACUUAAAGAAAACUGGCAUACAGCUUUAUAUUUACCAGAAUUUCUUCAUUUUAAAAUAAAAAAUAUUUCUAAACAAACGUGACUAAAAUGGCAAUAACACUAAUAUUUCUUAUAAAUAAAUACAAAUAACUAGUGUAACAGAACAAACAAUAUCAAACAGUGCAGGGAGCAGAAGUGGUCACAGACGGCCCAGGGAUGACAGGGGAUGGUUUUAAAUGUUUAUGAUUGCAUCUGGAGAGAGAAGAUGGGCAUUUGUGAAACAAUGGGAAUUUUAUAAUAUAGUGUGAAAACAAAAUAUUAUUUUCUGUUCAGCACAGUAUAGAAAUCUCAGCACAGUUUUUCAGGUGAGCCCAAACGUUUUCCUUACAACCAGACCUACAGCAUGCACAACUAUCUAUCCAGUGAGGACUUCUAGCACAAAAUGUGAGGACUUAAUAGCACUUCAUGCUAUUAAACAUAAAUGCUCUAAAGGCAAGAGUUUAAAACUAUUAAUGACAACAGGAGGUGGAAAAUAAACAUUUCAAUCGACUAGGGUGAAAGCUAACUAAGUACACAAAGAUGUCAAUAAAUAUAAAAGUAGGUUUUGUGUCCAACAACAUAGCUUACUUCACAAAAGAAGAAGUGUAUUUCUUACACUGGUUAUUUUCUUAACAUGAAUAAUCUUUACCUUAUGAAAAUACAGUGGAACUAACUGAUGUUAAUUCAAGCUACUGAUUAGGAAUUAGGAAACACAGACAUUACUAUCAUCCAUGACAAAACUAGCUUCACUACAACAGAUAAAUCAUUGAUCUGUGCAGCACGUUACCUCUGUGUCUUUUUCAUAUUAUUCCUCCUCUUCUUUUUCGUCCCUGGGCUCCCGAGGGCUUUGUUGUUAUUGUUUUUUUUACAUUACGGUCAUUUAUAAACGUGAUAUUAAUUGGUACACUCAUUGUCACUCACUUCACAUAAGUCACCUGCCCUCCUCCUCCACAACGAGCAGCUGUGUUGUGAUGCGCCGCGUCAAGCAAGAGACAAGAAAAUAGAGCCUUUUUAAAUGUGUGAAGUAGCCUAGUUGUGUUUUCAUGGCUUCUUUCAUAACGUUACCAAUUAAUAGCAUGAAAAUUAUAUUAGAUAAAUAAUAUUUACACACAUUUUUUCUUCUAUUUCUUCUUCUUAUCUUCAACUUUUCUGCCUCAUUAAUUUUGGGCGCCAGUGGUGCCCCCUAUGGAUGCUGGCGCCCCUAGCAUUUACCUAUACUGCCUAUGCCACGGGCCGGCCCUGGGUUAACUAACGGCCGUCUUGGAGCAACAUCCCCUGGUGGAAUGAGGCAAGGAGGAAGCCGAUCCAGGCUGUCAUUGGGUGAGAGGCGGGGUUACACCCUGGACUGUUCACCAGCCAAUCACAGAGCUGACAUAUAGAGACAGACAACCAGACACACUCACAUUCAGAGAGUCAGCAGUUAACCUAACGAGCAUGUGUUUGAACUGUGGGAGGAAGACGGAGAACCAGGAGAGAACCCACACAUGAAGAACAUGCAGACUACACACAGAGAGACUCCUGAAGGACGGGGAUUCAAACCAGGAACCUCCUCACAGAGAGACUCCUGUCAGAUGGGGAUUCAAACCAGGAACCUCCUCACAGAGAGACUCCUGUC